rnacentral:lncRNA from 1 species
GAGUGGUAAUCUGCUUCCCAGAGAUCCGGGGUUCGAAUCCCAGGUGUGGCAAUUUGUUUUUGUAUUUCUGUUGAUGUGCCUGCACAGGUUCUACUUCUUGGCGAGAAUCCUGUGCUAGCCCAGUUGGUUAGUGCAGCCACUCUAGUUUCAAGAGGGGUCAUGGGAUCAAACCCCAGCUGCCCAUAUUAUUUUCACCUUGUGUUUUUUUNNNNNUAACUCUCAUGCAUAAUUAGAACUGUUUAGUGUGUUGUUUGCAUCGGUUUACGUGUCGACGUGUUGUAGUGUAUUUUAGAACGUCCGUAACUGUUAAACCGUGCAUCGGAUUAAAAUGAUUUCAACAUAUAAGUUGCUUAGAAUUUUCUGUAGUUUCAAGAGGGGUCAUGGGAUCAAAUCCUAGCUGCCCAUAUUAUUUUCACCUUGUGUUUUUUUAGUUGUAGUGUAUUUUAGAACGUCCGUAACUGUUA